UUUUCCUACGGGACGCAGCAGUAGGGAAUCUUCGGCAAUGGACGAGAGUCUGACCGAGCAACGCCGCGUGAGUGAAGAAGGUUUUCGGAUCGUAAAACUCUGUUGGUAGAGAAGAACGUUGGUGAGAGUGGAAAGCUCAUCAAGUGACGGUAACUACCCAGAAAGGGACGGCUAACUACGUGCCAGCAGCCGCGGUAAUACGUAGGUCCCGAGCGUUGUCCGGAUUUAUUGGGCGUAAAGCGAGCGCAGGUGGUUUAUUACGUCUGGUGUAACAGGCAGUGGCUCAACCAUUGUAUG
rnacentral:rRNA from 1 species